rnacentral:tRNA from 1 species
UAAACAUUUUUGAAUAUCAUAUCAAAAAUUGACCGCUCCAGCGGGAUUCGAACCCGCGUCUUCGACAUACCGUGUCGACGCUCUAGCCAAUUAAGCUAUGGAACGAUAUACUCGCCAGAGCGAAACUUUUGAUAUGAUGAUUUUUACUUUCGGUUUAAGCGAACCGUGGCGCCGUCUAUAGUGAGUUCUUUACAGAGACUCGUAACUAUUCAAAGUUUCAUAUUACAAUGAAAAUCUUUGACAGGAGACGACACCAUGCUAUUUUAAUAUGUACGAUUUUUAUUUUUGUGUUACCCACAAUUAGGAAUUCUAAACAUUUUUGAAUAUCAUAUCAAAAAUUGACCGCUCCAGCGGGAUUCGAACCCGCGUCUUCGACAUACCGUGUCGACGCUCUAGCCAAUUAAGCUAUGGAACGAUAUACUCGCCAGAGCGAAACUUUUGAUAUGAUGAUUUUUACUUUCGGUUUAAGCGAACCGUGGCGCCGUCUAUAGUGAGUUCUUUACAGAGACUCGUAACUAUUCAAAGUUUCAUAUUACAAUGAAAAUCUUUGACAGGAGACGACACCAUGCUAUUUUAAUAUGUACGAUUUUUAUUUUUGUGUUACCCACAAUUAGGAAUUCUAAACAUUUUUGAAUAUCAUAUCAAAAAUCUUCGACAUACCGUGUCGACACGGUAUGUCGAAGACGCGGGUUCGAAUCCCGCUGGAGCGGUCAAUUUUUGAUAUGAUAUUCAAAAAUGUUUAGAAUUCCUAAUUGUGGGUAACACAAAAAUAAAAAUCGUACAUAUUAAAAUAGCAUGGUGUCGUCUCCUGUCAAAGAUUUUCAUUGUAAUAUGAAACUUUGAAUAGUUACGGGUUUCUGUAAAGAGCUCACUAUAGACGGCGCCACGGUUCGCUUAAACCGAAAUUAAAAAGUAUCAUAUCGAAAAUUUCGCUCGAGCGGGUGCAUCGUUCCAUAGCUUAAUUGGCUAGAGCGCCGACACGGUACGUCGGAGACGCGGGUUCGAACCCCGCUGGAGCGGUCAAUUUUUGAUAUGAUAUUCAAAAAUGUUUAGAAUUCCUAAUGUGGGUAACACAAAAAUAAAA